rnacentral:rRNA from 1 species
GACGAACGCUGGCGGCGUGCUUAACACAUGCAAGUCGAACGGAAAGGCCCCCACCUUGUGGGGGUGCUCGAGUGGCGAACGGGUGAGUAACACGUGGGUGAUCUGCCCUGUACUUCGGGAUAAGCUUGGGAAACUGGGUCUAAUACCGGAUAGGACCAUGGUUUAGUGUCUCAUGGUGGAAAAAUUAUUGUUUUGGUGCAGGAUGAGCUCGCGGCCUAUCAGCUUGUUGGUGGGGUAAUGGCCUACCAAGGCGUCGACGGGUAGCCGGCCUGAGAGGGUGGACGGCCACAUUGGGACUGAGAUACGGCCCAGACUCCUACGGGAGGCAGCAGUGGGGAAUAUUGCACAAUGGGCGCAAGCCUGAUGCAGCGACGCCGCGUGGGGGAUGACGGCCUUCGGGUUGUAAACUCCUUUCGUUAGGGACGAAGCCACACCUUUUUUGGGUGUGGUGACGGUACCUUUGUUAAGAAGCACCGGCUAACUACGUG